CGCGCGCGCGUAUCAGGCGCAAUGGUUGCAAUGCGUCCCUCGGCGCAUGGAUCGCAUCUCGGCCUCGACCGAUGUUAAAUGGCCGCCACGGCGCGCCGGGACGCAAACUAAUGCCCCGCGUCCAGCUCGUACACGUAGCGGCGCGACUGCUACCGAGCUCGGUGCCGGAUUCCGCGGCCCACCGCGUAAUGAAUCCACUUUGCGCCGUGCCGCGUUUCCUUCGACUUUUUCCACUUCCCCUCCCGAUCGGUCUUUCUUUCUCUCCGUGGCAGGCCACGAACGCCACUUAAUGAAAUGUCACAGGUGUCCUACCGAUCGCCGAGCUAAAUGUCGCCGGCUUCCCAUACCCCGCCUCGGCGAGCCAAGCGAUUUCGACUUUACGCGGAAUGCCGUGAAGAUGACGCCGCAGAUACCGACCGGUACCCUGCUCUCUCUUCCGAACCCGCGAUCCUGGAAUCUUAUCUCGUGUCGACAGUGUGUUUGUGAUUCUUGGUAAAUUGUAGGGAGGAGUUGGGUUAUGGAAUUUAUUUUUUUCCCUUUUUGUUUGAAUCCUUUCGAAUCACGUAUAUUUCUAUUAUUCUCGAUUGAUUCGUAUAUACAAAUGAUGUAAUGUUUACUUUUUCCUGCAUUUGACAUAACCUAUAUCCAAAUUAAAGGCUGUAAAAAAUUGUGAACAUACUUUGAAUUACGCAUAACGGUGCAGUACGUAGAUAAGUACGUAUUGAUAAUAACACGAGCUGUCGACUUAACAUGGACAACAUGGUUCCCGUGAAUCGAAUUCCAGAAAGUAGUGGAGAAAGCGAUGCUGAAAUGUUUAGAACGCUUACAUACCUUGCGUAUUUUUUUACGUGUAAAACGAAUAAAACGAGUACGAUACAUCGGUCAGCUUAUUCAGUGAUUUAUAUGUUCAACAAUCUCUCCAAUCAUCGUCUCAUCACUAAUGUGCAAAGAAAUCCUGCACUGACAAGUCUGUAGAAAGCAUAUGAUAGAAAUUGCACAACUAGGAUAUAUUCAGUAGAAAAGCGCAUAAAGUGCAGCCAUGUCGGAUUUCAACUGAGGUCUCGAAAAGAUAGGGAGAGCGACGAUCUAAUUCCUAUUCCGCUGCCCUCUCGAGGCGCAUCGAUGAAUUAUGAUACGCAUACUUACGAACCCUCUUGUUCACGGUUCUGUACACUGAUUCCGAUCGCUACCUCUCGCCGUGUGUCGAUCUAUCGAUCAAUCGAUCGAUCCGUAAAGCAACCUUUUUGGAUUUGGUCGGUUUUUCUCGUCCAUCUUCGUGGACUGUUCGAGAGAAACGUCGAAGCCAUCCGUCACCGAUCAUUACGCGCUCGUGGAUUUCAAUGUCCUUGUUAAAAGGGAUUGCCUCGUGCGGUGACCUACGACACGCGGCAAGCUGACGAGAAGAUAGAUGGCGGCGCACGAUUUCGCCGUCUGUUCUGCUUAGCGCACAGUCAACUUGUUACGAUUUGUUGCAGCAUGGGAGAACGGUAUCGCAGAGGAAAACCUGCACACGGGAAGCGAAACGUCUCUAUCCUGUUCAGACCGUGUUAUGCAAAUUGCGUUAAUUGCUACAACAAAAAGCUUUCAUCACUCAAUAUAUACUCAUCACUCAAUAUAUUUUAAUUGCUAAAUAAUAAUUGAAUGAUCCAUUAAAUUAUUGAAAAAUCGUGCAAAUUUAAUUCUAUGGAAACGAACAAGAAAUGUGUAUAUAUAUACGGAAUGGAUUACUGAUUAACAAAACAGGAUGAAAGCCAUGGAAUCAUCAAUAAACAUUACAAUUUAACUUUUAUAGAGAUGACGGUCGCUUUUGAUUUACUUAACAUGUUUCGUUUAGCAAGAACAAGUUAGCCUCUUCAGUUUAACGGACCACCUUCGAAUACGUACAAGGUAGAUCUUCUAAGUGACGUACACGGAAAUGUUUCUUACAAAUGGUUUUAAGCAAGUUGUAAACUCGUAAAGCGCAUAAAUUCGAAUGACACGUGGAACAAGUAAGAAAAUUCUUGCGAUUUAAGUUUUUCUCUCUUCUUCGAUUUUUAUUAACGAAACACUUGAAUUCCUUGAAAUCAACUCGAAGUUUAAUCCAAUGGUACACGCGCAUAAUCGCGUUCUCGUUGCUUGUCACGGGGCCCGCUACGUUUCCGUGAGUGCGAUUUACGCCGUGAGCGUGGUCGUCGGUCGAAGCCAGGAUAAGCGGCGUUUUAUGGAGCCCCAUACGCCGCUCACUCCAUGGCGGAAGGGACGCACUUUGUUCCGCGACUGCGAAUGUAUCCCGAGGCCUCGAUCCACCCACAAGGAAGCACUUGAAGAAAGAGAGAGAUGCCUUGUCGCGAGAAGAUGAUUGUGGUCCAUACGACGCAUCAGUUCAAUUCUCUAUACGGUGUCGUAGUGACAAAAGAAUAUUAAAGCAAUAUGAUUGUCUUUUAAGAAAUAUUAUAACAUUUUAUUUUUUUGCUUUGAAUAAUUAACCAUUUCAUUAUAUUAUACAUAUUUAGCAUAAAUUAUGAUAGCAUAAAUUUGAUAUUGUGAUAUAUAUAAUUUCACAAAAUAACCGGCUGAUUUAAAAUGGAAACUAACGUCGUCUAUUUCUGGACACCCUAUAUGAGAAGAUAGGCCGAAAGACAGCAGCGGAGGAGCAGCUAGGCGCAAGAAGGAGUGACGGAGGGAGGCAGAAGAAGAGAGACUCGGCAGAAAGAGCAGAUGUUCACCAUAUAAAACACCAUCUAAUUAUAAGAAAAACAACCAACAACUUAUGACACAAUAGUAAUAAGAAAAUUGAUAAUACAUUGGAGAAUGAUUGGUUCCAACAAGGAUUCUUGGAAGGGCGGGGUCCGCCUUCUAAUUCAUAGGCGGUGUAAUUUGUGCGUCGCCGACUAAUUGGCGGCGUUUCGCGAUUUAUGCUGUGACACCACUCGUAACAUCUGCCCCCGCUGCACAACGCCAUCACAUCCCUCGGAUGCCCCGAAGGAGCCGCAUGAUACCGGCCAAUCAUACAUAUUAAUGGAACUCACGGGCCAACGCCGAGCCCUGAAAUUGUUCGUGCAAUCGAUUCGAGCCGGUCGAAUCGAGAUGCCAACAUGAGAUAAACCUCUAGUCUAAUGUUUUCCAACCUUUUUCGGGAAUCCAUUCCAAUCCAAAGAGUUUUUACAUUUUAUAUUAUUGAAUUAUGUUUUUAAGAUAAAUUUCAAUAGAUUGUAUAACAAAUUUUUUCAUCUUAGAAAGUAAGAGACGCAGAGUUAAUGUAAAGAUUUGUAAUAUAUUUGCUAUUUCAUUUUUACAGAUUUCACGCUAUUGUGCAAAAUAUGCAAACGAUAAUUCGAGUGACCAGUGCAUUAGGAUCUUUCUAAUAUCUCUCAAACAUAUUUUAUGGAAUAUUUUUUUGGAAAUAAAAAUAAGACACAGAAUGUUAAUUUUUAGAAAAGAUCUGUGAUGGAGAGAUUAAUGAUUAAUUCGAUAUUUUUAAAAAUUUUGGAACACUAAAGAUUCAAAAAAUAUCGGAUUUAUUGAGCUCACGAACGGACCGUUCUCUGGCAACAUUUCAAUUAUAGAAACAUAUAGAACCGUAUUAUCAGAUCGACCUUAUGUGCAAUUAAAUUAGAAUGGUAAUUGCAUCGGUGCCGAACCACCAAACAGAGAAACAGAGAUGGAUUUAUGAAGUAUUAGGAGAUUAUAUUUUUUUCUUUUCAAUUUAAUUAUGGUGAAACAUUGAAUAGGAUAUGCUCUAAUUUGUUUCCAUUUGGACUGUUUCUAUAUCAAAUUACGAUAUAAAAAUAAUGUUUUAAAUAACUUGGAUAUCUUUGAUACUAUUGUAAAUUUUUAUUAAAUCUAGUUAUUCAAGAUAUAAGAAA